rnacentral:rRNA from 1 species
GGAGGUAGUGACAAUAAAUCACAAUGCGGGACUUUUAGUUUUGCAAUUGGAUUGAGAACAAUGUAAAAGAGUUAUCGAUAAACAAUUGAAGGGCAAGUCUGGUGCCAGCAGCCGCGGUAAUUCCAGCUCCAAUAGCGUAUAUUAACGUUGUUGCAGUUAAAAAGCUCGUAGUUGAAGUGUGGGGUGAAAAGUUGGUUGUUUCUUUGAAAUGGCUGUCUGCUCACCCCCUCUCCAAUGUGUUAUUAUGGGUAUUAAUUUACUUGUAGUAGCUAUUGGUCAUUUACUGUGAGAAAAUUAGAGUGUUCAAAGCAGGCAUUUGCUUGAAUAUAUUAGCAUGGAAUAAUAGUAAAAGGCUUUUGUGGUCGAUUUAAUUGGUUUGUUCAUAAAAGCAAGAUUAAUAGGGACAGUUGGGGGUAUUCAUAUUCAAUAGUUAGAGGUGAAAUUCUCGGAUUUAUGGAAGAUGAACAAGUGCGAAAGCA